AUGACCAUUGGGUUGCCCAGAACAUCCACUGGUGCUGCCAAGGCUGUGAGCAAGGUGAUUUCAGAGCUGAAUCAGAAGCUUAUUGGCAUGGCCUUCUAUGUUGCGCCUGAAAAAUCCCAGGUUUCGGCACCAGAUGAAACGAGAGCCCCCCAAAUCCCUUUUCACCCGCGAAUAAGGACAGGAGGCGGUAAUCGGGUGUACUGCGACGAGGACCCUUUACUACUCCACACGGUUGCCCAGACCUAUGUGGUGAUAGUCUCCUGUGCUGAGUCCAGUGGUAUUUCAGUAGAUCCAAUCAAGACUUUUCUCAAGUGGCCUUUCCUGACCCAUUUUCCUAGUGCAAACAUCAGGAGGCCAUUGAGGAUGGUGGCAGAUGGAGCGCGACCGAGGAGGUGGCUGGACAGCUGGAAAAUCAACGGAGAAAUGGACUGUCCCACAGACCUGGAAACGGCCGCCCCCAAAGGCCAAGACCGCUGGUCCCAGGAAGAUAUGCUAAAUUUGUUGGAAUGCAUGAAGAACAACCUUCCAUCCAACGACAGCUCCAAGUUCAAAACCACAGAGUCGCAUAUGGACUGGGAAAAAGUUGCAUUCAAGGAUUUUUUCAGGAGAUAUGUGCAAGCUCAAAUGGGUGGAGAUUUCUAAUGAGGUAAGGAAGUUCUGAACAUUGGCCGAAUUGAUCCUUGAUGCCCAGGAGCAUGUCAAAAACCCUUACAAAGGCAAAAAAAAAAAAAAAAAAAACCUCAAAGAAACACCCGGAUUUUCCAAAGAAGCCUCUCACCCCUUACUUCCGCUUCUUCAUGGAGAAACGGGCCAAGUAUGCGAACUCCACCCUGAGAUGAGCAACCUGGACCUGACUAAAAUCCUGUCUAAGAAAUACAAGGAACUUCCAGAGAAGAAGAAGAUGAAAUAUAUUCAGGACUUCCAGAGGGAGAAACAGGAGUUCGAGCGAAACCUGGCCCGAUUCAGGGAGGAUCACCCUGACCUUAUCCAGAAUGCCAAGAAGUCGGACAUCCCCGAGAAGCUCCAAACUCCCCAGCAACUGUGGUAUACCCAUGAGAAGAAGGUGUAUCUCAAAGUGCGGCCGGAUGAGAUUAUGCGUGAUUAUAUCCAGAAGCACCCCGAGCUAAACAUCAGUGAGGAAGGUAUUACCAAGUCCACCCUCAGCAAGGCUGAACGCCAGCUCAAGGAAAAGUUUGAUGGACAACCCACCAAGCCACCUCCGAACAGCUACUCCCUGUACUGUACAGAGCUCAUGGCCAACAUGAAGGAUGUGCCCAGCACAGAACGUAUGGUGCUAUGCAGCCAGCAGUGGAAGCUGCUCUCCCAGAAGGAAAAGGAUGCUUAUCACAAGAAGUAUGACCAGAAAAAGAAAGAUUAUGAGGUAGAGCUGCUGGGGUUCCUUGAGAGUUUGCCCGAGGAAGAGCAGCAGCAGGUCCUGGGGGAGGAGAAGAUGCUGAAUAUCAAUAAGAGGCAGACCACCAGUCCAGCCUCCAAGAAGCCUUCACAGGAAGGUGGCAAGGGUGGCUCCGAGAAGCCCAAGCGGCCUGUGUCUGCCAUGUUCAUCUUCUCAGAGGAGAAGAGAAGGCAGCUGCAGGAGGAACGACCGUCGAGCUCUCAGAAAGCGAGCUGACCCGUCUGCUGGCCCGCAUGUGGAACGACUUGUCCGAGAAGAAGGCUAAAUAUAAGGCCCGGGAGGCUACGCUAAAGGCGCAGUCUGAGAGGAAGCCAGGUGGGGAGCGUGAAGAUAGGGGCAAGCUGCCUGAGUCGCCCAAGAGAGCUGAGGAAAUCUGGCAGCAGUGUCAUUGGAGACUAUCUGGCCCGCUUCAAGAAUGACCGGGUGAAAGCCUUGAAAGCCAUGGAGAUGACUUGGAACAACAUGGAGAAGAAGGAGAAGCUAAUGUGGAUUAAGAAGGCAGCAGAAGACCAAAAUAAAUAAAUAAAUAAAUUAAGUGAGAUGCGGGCCCCUCCAGCUGCUACAAACUCUUCCAAGAUGAAGUUCCAGGGGGAGCCCAAGAAACCUCCUAUGAACGGUUACCAGAAGUUCUCCCAGGAGCUGCUGUCCAAUGGGAAGCUAAAUCACUUGCUGAAGGACCGCAUGGUAGAGAUUGGUAGCCGCUGGCAGCGCAUCUCCCAGAGCCAGAAGGAGCAUUAUAAGAAGCUGGCCGAGGAGCAGCAGAAGCAGUACAAGAUGCACUUGGACCUCUGGGUCAAGAGCCUGUCUCCUCAGGACCGAGCAGCGUACAAAGAAUACAUCUCCAAUAAACGUAAAAACAUGACUAAGCUUCGAGGCCCAAUUCCCAAGUCUAGCCGGACCACCCUGCAGUCUAAGUCAGAGUCCGAGGAGGACGACGACGAGGAAGAUGAGGAUGAUGAUGACGAGGAGGAGGAGGAAGACGACGACAAUGGCGACUUGUCUGAGGGUGGCGGGGACUCUUCCGAGUGGAGCAGUGAAGAUGAAAGCGAGGAUGAGGAUGAGAAUGAUGAUGAUGAUGACGACGACGACGAGGAUGAGGAUGAGGAUGAAGACAAUGAGUCUGAGGGCAGUAGCUCCAGCUCUUCAUCUUCAGGGGAUUCCUCAGAUUCUGACUCCAACUGAGGCUCAGCCUCCAUCCCAGGCAGGCAGGCA